UUCCGGUUGAUCCUGCCGGACCCGACUGCUAUCAGAGUGGGACUAAGCCAUGCGAGUCAACAUAGCAAUAUGUGGCAUACGGCUCAGUAACACGUAGUCAACAUGCCCAGGGGACGUGGAUAACCUCGGGAAACUGAGGAUAAACCGCGAUAAGUCACUGCUUCUGGAAUGGGUAGUGACUUAAAUCUAUAUGGCCCCUGGAUUGGACUGCGGCCGAUCAGGCUGUUGGUGAGGUAGUGGCCCACCAAACCUGUAACCGGUACGGGCUCUGAGAGGAGGAGCCCGGAGAUGGGCACUGAGACAAGGGCCCAGGCCCUAUGGGGCGCAGCAGGCGCGAAACCUCUGCAAUAGGCGAAAGCCUGACAGGGUUACUCUGAGUGAUUUCCGUUAAGGAGAUCUUUUGGCACCUCUAAAAAUGGUGCAGAAUAAGGGGUGGGCAAGUCUGGUGCCAGCCGCCGCGGUAAUACCAGCACCCCGAGUGGUCGGGACGUUUAUUGGGCCUAAAGCAUCCGUAGCCGGUUCUGCAAGUCUUCCGUUAAAUCCACCUGCUUAACAGAUGGGCUGCGGAAGAUACUAUAGAGCUAGGAGGCGGGAGAGGCAAGCGGUACUCGAUGGGUAGGGGUAAAAUCCGUUGAUCCAUUGAAGACCACCAGUGGCGAAGGCGGCUUGCCAGAACGCGCUCGACGGUGAGGGAUGAAAGCUGGGGGAGCAAACCGGAUUAGAUACCCGGGUAGUCCCAGCUGUAAACGAUGCAGACUCGGUGAUGAAUUGGCUUUAUGCCAAUUCAGUGCCGCAGGGAAGCCGUUAAGUUUGCCGCCUGGGGAGUACGGUCGCAAGACUGAAACUUAAAGGAAUUGGCGGGGGAGCACCACAAGGGGUGAAGCCUGCGGUUCAAUUGGAGUCAACGCCGGG
rnacentral:rRNA from 1 species